rnacentral:rRNA from 1 species
UACGUAGGUGGCAAGCGUUGUCCGGAUUUACUGGGCGUAAAGGGCGUGCAGGCGGUUUGUUAAGUUCAGGGUGAAAGCUCCCGGCUCAACUGGGAGAGGUCCUUGGAUACUGGCAGACUUGAGGAGGGUAGAGGAGAGUGGAAUUCCCGGUGUAGUGGUGAUAUGCGUAGAUAUCGGGAGGAACACCAGUGGCGAAGGCGGCGAUCUGGGAAGAUACUGACGCUGAGGUGCGAAAGCGUGGGGAGCAAACAGG